AUGAAUUGCUGUUCUCAGGCAGGAGAAGAAAGGUUGGUUGCUUAUGCUGGUUCCAAGAAAAAUGACUGUUACAGAGUUCAAAAAGGAAUGAAACCAAAUAGAAUGUUUUUGUUUAAAAGAACUAUGUUCCAAUUCCAGCUUUCAUGCGGUCAUCUGGAAAGCCCUGCAGACAGAUCAUAAGGUGGGUAAGGAAUGAUGGUGCUUUAAAAUUGGUUAUGGCUCUCCAGAUAACCAAAGCUAU
rnacentral:lncRNA from 1 species